rnacentral:rRNA from 1 species
UAGCAUAUCAAUAAGCGGAGGAAAAGAAACCAACAGGGAUUGCCCUAGUAACGGCGAGUGAAGCGGCAACAGCUCAAAUUUGAAAUCUGGCUUCGGCCCGAGUUGUAAUUUGCAGAGGAAGCUUUAGGCGCGGCACCUUCUGAGUCCCCUGGAACGGGGCGCCAUAGAGGGUGAGAGCCCCGUAUAGUUGGAUGCCUAGCCUGUGUAAAGCUCCUUCGACGAGUCGAGUAGUUUGGGAAUGCUGCUCAAAAUGGGAGGUAAAUUUCUUCUAAAGCUAAAUACCGGCCAGAGACCGAUAGCGCACAAGUAGAGUGAUCGAAAGAUGAAAAGCACUUUGAAAAGAGGGUUAAAUAGCACGUGAAAUUGUUGAAAGGGAAGCGCUUGUGACCAGACUUGCGCCGGGCGGAUCAUCCGGUGUUCUCACCGGUGCACUCCGCCCGGCUCAGGCCAGCAUCGGUUCUCGCGGGGGGAUAAAGGUCUCGGGAACGUAGCUCCUCCGGGAGUGUUAUAGCCCGGGGCGUAAUGCCCUCGCGGGGACCGAGGUUCGCGCAUCUGCAAGGAUGCUGGCGUAAUGGUCAUCAGCGACCCGUCUUGAAACACGGACCAAGGAGUCAAGGUUUUGCGCGAGUGUUUGGGUGUAAAACCCGCACGCGUAAUGAAAGUGAACGUAGGUGAGAGCUUCGGCGCAUCAUCGACCGAUCCUGAUGUUUUCGGAUGGAUUUGAGUAGGAGCGUUAAGCCUUGGACCCGAAAGAUGGUGAACUAUGCUUGGAUAGGGUGAAGCCAGAGGAAACUCUGGUGGAGGCUCGCAGCGGUUCUGACGUGCAAAUCGAUCGUCAAAUCUGAGCAUGGGGGCGAAAGACUAAUCGAACCAUCUAGUAGCUGGUUA